UACGAAGGGGGCUAGCGUUGCUCGGAAUCACUGGGCGUAAAGCGCACGUAGGCGGCUUUCUAAGUCAGGGGUGAAAUCCUGGAGCUCAACUCCAGAACUGCCUUUGAUACUGGAGAGCUCGAGUCCGGAAGAGGUGAGUGGAACUGCGAGUGUAGAGGUGAAAUUCGUAGAUAUUCGCAAGAACACCAGUGGCGAAGGCGGCUCACUGGCCCGGAACUGACGCUGAGACGCGAAAGCGUGGGGAGCAAACAGG
rnacentral:rRNA from 1 species